CGGACGGGUGAGUAACACGUGGAUAACCUACCUAUAAGACUGGGAUAACUUCGGGAAACCGGAGCUAAUACCGGAUAAUAUAUUGAAUCGCAUGGUUCAAUAGUGAAAGACGGUUUUGCUGUCACUUAUAGAUGGAUCCGCGUCGCAUUAGCUAGUUGGUAAGGUAACGGCUUACCAAGGCAACGAUGCGUAGCCGACCUGAGAGGGUGAUCGGCCACACUGGAACUGAGACACGGUCCAG
rnacentral:rRNA from 1 species